GGAAUACGCCCUUAGAGUUUGAUCCUGGCUCAGAACGAACGCUGGCGGCAGGCCUAACACAUGCAAGUCGAGCGCGCCUUCGGGUGAGCGGCGGACGGGUAAGUAACGCGUGGGAACGUACCCUUCUCUACGGAAUAGCCUUUGGAAACGAAGAGUAAUACCGUAUACGCCCUUUGGGGGAAAGAUUUAUCGGAGAAGGAUCGGCCCGCGUUAGAUUAGAUAGUUAGUGGGGUAACGGCCUACCAAGUCUACGAUCUAUAGCUGGUUUAAGAGGAUGAUCAGCAACACUGGGACUGAGACACGGCCCAGACUCCUACGGGAGGCAGCAGUGGGGAAUCUUAGACAAUGGGCGCAAGCCUGAUCUAGCCAUGCCGCGUGAGUGAUGAAGGCCUUAGGGUCGUACAGCUCUUUCGCCUGUGAUGAUAAUGACAGUAGCA
rnacentral:rRNA from 1 species